AAAAACUUUCAACAACGGAUCUCUUGGUUCCAGCAUCGAUGAAGAACGCAGCGAAAUGCGACAAGUAAUGUGAAUUGCAGAAUUCAGUGAAUCAUCGAAUCUUUGAACGCACAUUGCGCCCCUCGGUAUUCCGGGGGGCAUGCCUGUUCGAGCGUCAUUAC
rnacentral:rRNA from 1 species